rnacentral:rRNA from 1 species
AUUGAACGCUGGCGGCAGGCCUAACACAUGCAAGUCGAGCGAGCGGCGGACGGGUGAGUAAUGUAUGGGGAUCUGCGCGAUAGAGGGGGAUAACUACUGGCAACGGUAGCUAAUAACGCAUACUACAGGAGGCACCCAUAUGGGAUGCGCUAGUAGGUGGGGUAACGGCUCACCUAGGCGACGAUCUCUAGCUGGUCUGAGAGGAUGCUCAGCCACACUGGGACUGAGAAACGGCCCAGACUCCUACGGGAGGCAGCAGUGGGGAAUAUUGCACCAUGGGCGCAAGCCUGAUGCAGCCAUGCCGCGUGUAUGAAGAAGGCCUUAGGGUUGUAAAGUACUUUCAGCGGGGAGGCGUUACCCGCAGAAGAAGCACCGGCUAACUCCGUGCCAGCAGCCGCGGUAAUUC